rnacentral:piRNA from 1 species
ACUGGAGACGGAAGCUGCAAGA